rnacentral:rRNA from 1 species
GACGAACGCUGGCGGCGUGCCUAAUGCAUGCAAGUCGAACGAGACCUUCGGGUCUAGUGGCGGACGGGUGAGUAACACGUUGGUACCUACCCCGAAGUGGGGAAUAACUGCCCGAAAGGGUGGCUAAUACCGCAUAAUACCGCAAGGUUAAAGCAGUAAUGCGCUUCGGGAGGGGCCUGCGUCCCAUUAGCUUGUUGGUAGUGUAAUGGACUACCAAGGCGACGAUGGGUAGCUGGUUCGAGAGGAUGACCAGCCACACUGGGACUGAGAUACGGCCCAGACUCCUACGGGGAGGCAGCAGUAAGGAAUCUUCCACAAUGGACGAAAGUCUGAUGGAGCAACACCGCGUGCAGGAUGACGGUCUU